UACGUAGGGUGCGAGCGUUAAUCGGAAUGACUGGGCGUAAAGAGCUCGUAGGCGGUUUGUCGCGUCUGCUGUGAAAUCCCGAGGCUCAACCUCGGGCCUGCAGUGGGUACGGGCAGACUGGAGUGCGGUAGGGGAGAAUGGAACUCCUGGUGUAGCGGUGGAAUGCGCAGAUAUCAGGAAGAACACCGAUGGCGAAGGCAGUUCUCUGGGCCGUAACUGACGCUGAGGAGCGAAAGCGUGGGGAGCGAACAGG
rnacentral:rRNA from 1 species